GGCUUGGUGGUGUAGUUGGUUAUCACGUCAGUCUAACAAUCACUGUUGGAGUUCACUGAAGGUCCCGAGAUCGAGCCUCGGCCGAGUCA
rnacentral:tRNA from 1 species